UUCCGGUUGAUCCUGCCGGACCUGACUGCUAUCGGAUUGAUACUAAGCCAUGCGAGUCAUUGCAGCAAUGCAAGGCAGACGGCUCAGUAACGCGUAGUCAACCUAACCUAUGGACGGGAAUAACCUCGGGAAACUGAGAAUAAUGCCCGAUAGAACACUAUACCUGGAAUGGUUUGUGUUCCAAAUGAUUUAUCGCCGUAGGAUGGGACUGCGGCCUAUCAGUUUGUUGGUGAGGUAAUGGCCCACCAAGACUAUUACAGGUACGGGCUCUGAGAGGAGUAGCCCGGAGAUGGGUACUGAGACACGGACCCAGGCCCUAUGGGGCGCAGCAGGCGAGAAAACUUUGCAAUGUGCGAAAGCACGACAAGGUUAAUCCGAGUGGUUUCUGCUAAAGGAACCUUUUGUUAGUCCUAGAAACACUAACGAAUAAGGGGUGGGCAAGUUCUGGUGUCAGCCGCCGCGGUAAAACCAGCACCUCAAGUGGUCAGGAUGAUUAUUGGGCCUAAAGCAUCCGUAGCCGGCUCUGUAAGUUUUCGGUUAAAUCUGUACGCUCAACGUCCAGGCUGCCGGGAAUACUGCAGAGCUAGGGAGUGGGAGAGGUAGACGGUACUCGGGAGGAAGUGGUAAAAUGCUUUGAUCUCUCGAUGACCACCUGUGGCGAAGGCGGUCUACCAGAACACGUCCGACGGUGAGGGAUGAAAGCUGGGGGAGCAAACCGGAUUAGAUACCCGGGUAGUCCCAGCUGUAAACUAUGCAAACUCAGUGAUGCAUUGGCUUGUGGCCAAUGCAGUAUUGCAGGGAAGCCGUUAAGUUUGCCGCCUGGGAAGUACGUACGCAAGUAUGAAACUUAAAGGAAUUGGCGGGGGAGCACCACAAGGGGUGAAGCUGCGGUUCAAUUGGAGUCAACGCCGGG
rnacentral:rRNA from 1 species